GACGAACGCUGGCGGCGUGCUUAACACAUGCAAGUCGAACGGAAAGGCCCUGCUUUUGUGGGGUGCUCGAGUGGCGAACGGGUGAGUAACACGUGAGUAACCUGCCCUUGACUUUGGGAUAACUUCAGGAAACUGGGGCUAAUACCGGAUAGGAGCUCCUGCUGCAUGGUGGGGGUUGGAAAGUUUCGGCGGUUGGGGAUGGACUCGCGGCUUAUCAGCUUGUUGGUGGGGUAGUGGCUUACCAAGGCUUUGACGGGUAGCCGGCCUGAGAGGGUGACCGGCCACAUUGGGACUGAGAUACGGCCCAGACUCCUACGGGAGGCAACAGUGGGGAAUAUUGCACAAUGGGCGGAAGCCUGAUGCAGCAACGCCGCGUGCGGGAUGACGGCCUUCGGGUUGUAAACCGCUUUCGCCUGUGACGAAGCGGGAGUGACGGUAAUGGGUAAAGAAGCACCGGCUAACUACGUG
rnacentral:rRNA from 1 species